GUUCCGCAGAAAGUUACAAAGUGAAAUUCAGCCCCCUCCGGAGACACCGGCGAAAUGUCAUUUUUCAGGCAGGAGCUGGGGGGGAGGCUAGCCCUAAAGGCGCUGGUUACUGGCCAAGGUAGGGGGGCAGUAAAUUAACUUAAAAGUCUGAGCCCAGUAACGGACUCGGUGGAAUUUCUGCGAGAAGAGGAGGGGGAGGCGCGAGCGAGAUCAUUGAAUAUUAAGCACGACCCCGCGCGGCGGCCGCGGCCAAACCGUCUCCGUGCAAUACCCAUUUUCUUUAUGAAAAGUUCAAGGUGUCACUGAUGAGCUCAACAAACUGUUGAUCUUGACCACGUGGAGUGGCGGACCGUGGGACCGAAGGGCGCGCUUGCAGGCCCGGCUCUGGCGGUACCCGGGCCCCGGGACCCUUUGCGUGGGACUGUGCGCGGGUGGGGCCACCACGCACCCUGGGCGCUGCCUGCGCCUUGGCCCGGCUUCAGGCUCAGGAAAAUAAUAAUAACGAUUUUAAAACUAUGUUGAGCGAGACACAUUUUACUCCCGGAAUGAUAAUGAGAAGGCUCGGCGUAGGGAGGGGAAGAAGGAGCCCCCCACUUAUAUAACGACUUGAAGUUAUAUCACUUUUGCUUGGGGAGAUUCCGGGAUUUCCGCCCGCGCCAGGUCUGAGGCUGGUUAAAGAUCUUCAAACUUUUUUCCCUUAAGAGCCAAUAAACAAACAGACGCCCCAGGGGCCGACUUAAACUCUGGUAGAGCCCGAGUUCGCUGGAAUUCUCAGAUUCGAAGAAAUGCACACGCCUGCGGUGCUCGCAGAGAAGUCCCUCGGAAGCUAGGCGGGUCGCUUUCGCAACUGGGACUCCAAUGUUCCCAGUGGGAGCGGAGCUCUCACCGCGGCAGCCCCCAGGUUCCCCUAGGCGCCUUAGAGCAAAGGUGGCGGGGGAUCGCGCUGCCCUUCGCCCGCCGGCUCGGAACCAUGAACUUGUAUUCCGGGCGCCGCGCUCCUGCCACAGUGCUCGGCUAAAGAGCUCUAAGGAAUUCGGGAUCUGGGUACACUUCGGGAUCUCAGGCGGCAACCUAUUAGCAGGCGCGUCGCGUCGGGGCUUCCCGGGCAGCUCUGCUCUGGGGAAUUAGAACGAACUCUAGCGGCCGUUUGCAACUCGGCUGUGGGCGCGAGGGCAUCAACAGGUGGCCGUGUGCAGCGGAGAGGCCAAUGGCGAGGACCCGGACUGGGGGUCCUGCUGCCAUGCUGUGAGAAGCCGAAGUUUCAUGGAGAGGCCACAUGGAGUGAAAACAAAGGUGAUAGGGACAAUAGCUCCACCUGAGAUCCUGAUUAAUACACAGACUUUAGCCAUCUUGGAUGCUCCAGCCUAAUCGAUCUCCCACUUGACUCUAGUCUCACCUGACAUUAUGUAGAGGAAAACCAUCCAGCUCCACCUAGUCAACCCACAGAAUAAUGAGAUGAUCAUAAGACUGUAGUUGUUUAACAUUAUUAACUUUUGGGGUGGUUUAUUACACAGUGAUAGAUAAAUAAAAUGGGAGUUAUUAUCCGUGUCUUUAUUUGCACAUAUAUCUGAAUAUUUCAGAUCUACUUCCCCCUGAACUCUGCAGGGUAUAGGUAGCAUUGUG
rnacentral:lncRNA from 1 species